CAUAAACGACUCUCGGCAACGGAUAUCUCGGCUCACGCAUCGAUGAAGAACGUAGCAAAAUGCGAUACUUGGGUGAAUUG
rnacentral:rRNA from 1 species